ACUCCUACGGGAGGCAGCAGUGGGGAAUAUUGCACAAUGGGCGCAAGCCUGAUGCAGCCAUGCCGCGUGUAUGAAGAAGGCCUCGGUUGUAAAGUACUUCUAGCAGUGAGGAAGGUGGGUAGUGUUAAUAGCAUACUCAUUUGUACGUUAGCUGCAGAAGAAGCACCGGCUAACUCCGUGCCAGCAGCCGCGGUAAUACGGAGGGUGCGAGCGUUAAUCGGAAUUACUGGCGUAAAGCGCAUGCAGGUGGUUGUUAAGUCAGAUGUGAAAGCCCGGGGCUCAACCUCGGAAUUGCAUUUGAAACUGGCAAACUAGAGUACUGUAGAGGGGGUAGAAUUUCAGGUGUAGCGGUGAAAUGCGUAGAGAUCUGAAGGAAUACCGGUGGCGAAGGCGGCCCCCUGGACAGAUACUGACACUCAGAUGCGAAAGCGU
rnacentral:rRNA from 1 species